UAUCUCUAAACAUCACAUCUAAAAUCCUCUUAUCCUCCACAUCCUCGAGCCAUAUCAUGUCUUCCAUCUUCAGUUCAGGUCGCGCCAGGGGAACAUAAGCGGGUUUCAACUUGUAAUUGACCACGCCAACAAUUUUACGACCGUUGUUCGUAUCGAUCGCCUUGAGCCAGAUGGAGUUACUUUGAGUCGCGAACUGCUUCAGGCUCCUCUCCUUGAAGAUCUGCUGGUUGCGCGGGGUAUCCUCGCCAUGUAUUAGCUGCUGGAAGGGUUCUUGUUGAAACGCUCGGAAAUGGCCUUGGAUUAUUUCGCUCCAGUCUGAGGCUUCUAUUUUCGUGAUGAUUAUAUGAGCCAUGAUUGCGGUGUCGAAAUGAGUGUUUUGGUCUCCUGUUAUUAUUUCCUUAAUUUCUAGAGAUGGUAUCCAACUGUGGGCGCUCCGGUUGACUAGUCUGUAUGUUUGCUAUUUAUUAAUCAAUGUCAUGAUGACUAGGG
rnacentral:sRNA from 2 species